rnacentral:rRNA from 1 species
AUUGAACGCUGGCGGCAGGCCUAACACAUGCAAGUCGAACGGUAACAGGAAACAGCUUGCUGUUUCGCUGACGAGUGGCGGACGGGUGAGUAAUGUCUGGGAAACUGCCUGAUGGAGGGGGAUAACUACUGGAAACGGUAGCUAAUACCGCAUAACGUCGCAAGACCAAAGAGGGGGACCUUCGGGCCUCUUGCCAUCGGAUGUGCCCAGAUGGGAUUAGCUAGUAGGUGGGGUAACGGCUCACCUAGGCGACGAUCCCUAGCUGGUCUGAGAGGAUGACCAGCCACACUGGAACUGAGACACGGUCCAGACUCCUACGGGAGGCAGCAGUGGGGAAUACUGCACAAUGGGCGCAAGCCUGAUGCAGCCAUGCCGCGUGUAUGAAGAAGGCCUUCGGGUUGUAAAGUACUUUCAGCGGGGAUGAAGGGAGUAAAGUUAAUACCUUUGCUCAUUGACGUUACCCGCAGAAGAAGCACCGGCUAACUCCGUG